GAUGAACGCUAGCGAUAGGCUUAACACAUGCAAGUCGAGGGGCAGCACAAGGUAGCCUGCUAUCUGGGUGGCGACCGGCGCACGGGUGCGUAACGCGUAUGCAACUUGCCCUAUACAGGAGGAUAACCCGUCGAAAGACGGACUAAUACUGCGUAUGCUCACAACUUGGCAUCAAGUGGUGAGGAAAGAAAUUCGGUAUAGGAUAGGCAUGCGUCCCAUUAGCUUGUUGGUGAGGUAACGGCUCACCAAGGCAACGAUGGGUAGGGGAACUGAGAGGUUUAUCCCCCACACUGGUACUGAGACACGGACCAGACUCCUACGGGAGGCAGCAGUGAGGAAUAUUGGUCAAUGGGCGCGAGCCUGAACCAGCCAAGUCGCGUGAAGGAUGACUGUCUUAUGGAUUGUAAACUUCUUUUAUACGGGAAUAACAAGAGUCACGUGUGACUCCCUGCAUGUACCGUAUGAAUAAGCAUCGGCUAACUCCGUG
rnacentral:rRNA from 1 species